rnacentral:misc_RNA from 1 species
AUGGCACUUCUCACAACUUCUUCAUCUGUGAGUCCAUCAGGAACUCUAACCACAACAUCUUGAAGCACCAUCUCCUUAAUGCUUGACAUACUUGCGUGAUGAACUUUGAACUCUACUUCUCUAAGUACAUCCAUUAACCUUGCAGCUGGGUAAUUAACAUCUGGGGAGAGGAAUCUUAUCAUAGCUUCUGAUCCUACAAUUGUCACAUCCAAUUCCAUUCCCUUGGCUUUGUAACUUGAAGAAGACC